GUGAAACGGGUUCCAAUUCAGUUUAAAGUGGAGAGUUUAGAAUGCUAUGCCAACGUGAACAUAAUGUCAUUAGGAAACCAACGACUUGAGGGGUUAAGAAUGCGUCCAUUCACUGAAACUACUAUAAAAGAUGGCACAUAUUGAGAACAGCAGGAAAACGACCAAAACAGAUGCAGAGUUGCAGAGAAAACUGAGCUUCGUAUCACCAUAGAAAACUUAAUUUCUGGCCCGCUAGAAAAGCAU
rnacentral:misc_RNA from 1 species